rnacentral:rRNA from 1 species
GACGAACCGUACGAACGUUAUUCGGAAUCACUGGGCUUAAAAGGUGCGUAGGCGGCGCGACAAGUUGGGUGUGAAAUCCCUCGGCUCAACCGAGGAACUGCGCCCAAAACUGUCGUGCUCGAGGGAGACAGAGGUGAGCGGAACUUAGGGUGGAGCGGUGAAAUGCGUUGAUAUCCUAAGGAACACCGGUGGCGAAAGCGGCUCACUGGGUCUCUUCUGACGCUGAGGCACGAAAGCUAGGGUAGCGAACGGG